ACUUUUAGAGGAUGGCAGGAAUCCGUUGGUCUUAGGAACCAAAAAAUUGGUGCAACUCCAAAUAAAAAUA
rnacentral:tRNA from 1 species